rnacentral:rRNA from 1 species
CAGUAGCCACGGUAAUACGAAGGGGGCUAGCGUUGUUCGGAUUUACUGGGCGUAAAGCGCACGUAGGCGGAUCGAUCAGUCAGGGGUGAAAUCCUGGAGCUCAACUCCAGAACUGCCUUUGAUACUGUCGAUCUCGAGUCCGGAGGAGGUGAGUGGAACUCCUAGUGUAGAGGUGGAAUUCGUAGAUAUUAGGAAGAACACCAGUGGCGAAGGCGGCUCACUGGUCCGGUACUGACGCUGAGGUGCGAAAGCGUGGGGAGCAAACAGGAUUAGAUACCCGAGUAGUCCCUGUCUCUUAUAC